GUUAUAACGCUAUGGGUAGCGUGUUGGACUUUUAAUCCAAAAGUCAUGGAUUCGAAUCCUACCUGGAUGCC